CCAGAGCGCGGCAGUCAGAGCAUGUGGGCUAAGCUGUGUGCUCGAGAGGGAAACAGCCCGGACCGCCCGCUAAGGUCCCCAAGUUCCAGCCGAGUGGCAAAGGAUGUGCGUCCGCCCAGACAACCAGGAUGUUGGCUUAGAAGCAGCCAUUCAUUCAAAGAGUGCGUAACAGCUCACUGGUCGAGUGGACAUGCGCCGACAAUACACGGGGCUAAGCUGGACACCGAAGCGGCGGGAUUUUAAUUCAUUAGAAUCGGUAGGGGAGCUUCCCAUGGGCGGAGAAGCCGGAGGGCGACCGACGGUGGAGCGCAUGGGAGUGAGAAUGCUGGCAUGAGUAGCGAGAGACGAGAGAGUAACUCGUCCGCCGUGAACCCGAGGUUUCCUGGGCAAGGCUAAUCCUCCCAGGGUCAGUCGGGGGCUAAGGCGAGGCCGGUAGGCGUAGCCGACGCGCAGCAGGCAGACAUUCCUGCACCGCGCACGCGGCGCUACGACCGACGGGGCGACGGAUGGGGGUGGCUCGGCGGGGUUCUGGACGUCCCCGUGAUGGAGCGCGGCCCGCGGACCAGGGAAAUCCGGUCCGCAGAAGGGCGAGGCUCCGGACGAAGCACUUAAGCGAAGCGAGUGAGCCCGAGGUCCCUAGAAAAACCCCUAGGCAGGCGCGUGCGCGCCCGUACCGCAAACCGACACAGGUGGGUGGGUAGAACAUACCGAGGCGAUCGGGUCAACCAUGGUCAAGGAACUCGGCACAAUGGCCCCGUAACUUCGGGAGAAGGGGUGCCCGCGCGUACGUGAACCGGCUUGCCCGGGGAGCGGAGGCGGGCCGCAGUGGAGAGGCCCAAGCGACUGUUUACCAAAAACACAGGACUCUGCAGAAGCCGCAAGGCGACGUAUAGGGUCUGACGCCUGCCCGGUGCCGGAAGGUCACGCGGAGGAGUUAGCCAUUUCGGCGAAGCCCCGAAGCCAAGCCCCGGUAAACGGCGGCCGUAACUAUAACGGUCCUAAGGUAGCGAAAUUCCUUGUCGGGUAAGUUCCGACCUGCACGAAAGGCGCAACGACUUGGGCGCUGUCUCGACCAUGGACCCGGUGAAAUUGCACUGGUCGUGAAGAUGCGACUUACCCGCGGAAGGACGGAAAGACCCCGUGAACCUUCACUGCAGCUUGGCAUUGGCCGCUGGUCCCGCGUGUAGAGGAUAGGCAGGAGGCACAGAUCCGGAGGCGCCAGCCCCCGGGGAGCCGCCCUUGGAAUACUGCCCUCGCGCGACCGGCGUCCUAACCCGAGGCCGUCAACCGGCUCGGGGACCGUGCCAGGCGGGCAGUUUGACUGGGGCGGUCGCCUCCUAAAGGGUAACGGAGGCGCGCGAAGGUCCGCUCGGGACGGUCGGCAACCGUCCUUUUGAAUGCAAGAGUACAAGCGGGCUUGACUGCGAGGCCCACAAGCCGAGCAGGUGCGAAAGCAGGCUCUAGUGAUCCGGCGGCCCCGAGUGGGUGGGCCGUCGCUCAACGGAUAAAAGGUACUCCGGGGAUAACAGGCUGAUCUUGCCCAAGAGUCCACAUCGACGGCAAGGUUUGGCACCUCGAUGUCGGCUCAUCGCAUCCUGGGGCUGGAGCAGGUCCCAAGGGUACGGCUGUUCGCCGUUUAAAGCGGUACGCGAGCUGGGUUCAGAACGUCGUGAGACAGUUCGGUCCCUAUCCUCCGUGGGCGCAGGAGAAUCGAUGGAGGCUGCCCCCAGUACGAGAGGACCGGGGUGGACGCACCUCCGGUGAACCGGUUGUCGACCAACGGCACGGCCGGGUAGCCGCGUGCGGCGCGGAUAACCGCUGAAGGCAUCUAAGCGGGAAGCCGUUCCAGGGAUUAGUUCUCCUUCCGGUAAGGGCCCAGGUAGACUACCUGGUCGAUAGACGGCAGGUGCAAGGACGGCGACGUCCUCAGCCGAGCCGCACUAAUCGCCCGAGCUCUUCCGGAA
rnacentral:rRNA from 1 species